GUAUUAUGUCUGUGUGGUGAAUGUCACAUACUACUUCACGCCAUUUCCUGGGUUCCAGCUCAGACCCUGACUUUAUUAAAACAUGGAUCCACCAUAGAGUAGUAAACCCAAGAAACGCAGACAGAAUCAUUUGGUCCUGGACCGGAUCUUUCAGGAACGUCCCAGCGUUAUUUCUUCCCCAAGGACGAAGAGCCUGAAACAUUGCAGUGGGAGAGCUGACUCUACCUGCUUGUUGCUGGUGUUGAGAGUCCCAGGUCUGCAGAUCACCAGAGGGCCCACUA